rnacentral:lncRNA from 1 species
CCAAGCAGCAGCAGCAGCAUACCUGAGGGAUAUGAUAAAUUUCCAACAAUAAUAGUAACUCAUUAAGGCUACAUUUUCUGGAAAAUAUAUGAACAGGCCACCCUUUGUCCAUUUGUAUUAGGGGCUCAUUGAGCUGGAGCAGGUAGUUUCAUACUUAACCAGAUGAAAAUUGUUAUAGUCUUGGCAGAAAAGACAGUUCCAAGUAUAGUACAAUGUCCUGUCCAUGUUAACCUAACGUCUGAAUCCUAUGGAUUUAUAGGCGACAUUGGGAUAGGAGAAGGGGAGCAGAAGGAACUGUUUUAACAGUGACUCAAAGGAAACUAGGAAUCAACAGCAUUUGGGGUGGGAAGGGGCUCUCUAACAGAGUGACUUCCAAGUCCUCAGUAAGAAGAAGUCACGUGUUUUUUCUGCAUCUUGCAGAAUGGUGCUCACCUUCGAUAUGGUAGGGGCUGCAGCCCCCCAGCUAUGCAGGAACAGUGAUGCCCAGCAGACGGGGGAAGAUGCAGAGCAGUGGGGUGGCUUGGAAGAAGUGUCCUUGUUCAAAAAAAAUCUAACAACUCUGGACUGUUGACAAACAUUCCCUUUUGCGGUCGCAACUCCUCUUGAAGCCAAAAUGAGCCUUUGCCCUCUGAUGGGAAUGAAGCAGCAAGCCGCCAAGCCACACAACGGAAGCCUGAAAUGAGAUGACUUGGGCAAUUUGCACAAGAGUUUCCUACUUUAAAUAAUUAGAGUCACUAUCCCUGGGGGCAUUUGCUUAUUGGCUGCCUUAACAGUCUUCUUCUUUUUUUUUUUUUAAAGCAAGUCUCUUAAAGAUACUGCUCUUGAUCUUACACGCACUUGCCAAGACUUGUCUUAUUCUUAUAGUACUGAUGUUCUACUGUUCAAAAGUUAGGAAGGAGCUGAUUCUGAGCUGGAAACAAGGGCAGCAGAAGAUAGAGAUAGUAGGCUCAUUUUGUGCAUGAGUCCCAGAGAGAGAGAGUGCCAGCCAUUGCAGGAGGUGGGUUUGAGGGGUUGGAUGUGCAAAAUGAGGUCUAGCUGGCAGCCCCUGGGCAAUCUGCUGACGGUGGGUUGGAAAUGGCAACUGUUGAAAAACACCGCAAACUGA